rnacentral:rRNA from 1 species
UACGAGGGGGGCGAGCGUUGUUCGGAAUUAUUGGGCGUAAAGGGCGCGUAGGCGGUGCGACGUGUCUCCUGUGAAAUCUCCGUGCUCGAACUGGUGCUGCAGGCGAAACUGCCGUGCUGGAGUGUGGGAGAGGUGCGGUGGAAUUCCGUGGUGUAGCGGUGAAAUGCGUAGAUAUCGAGGAGGAACACCGUGUAGGCGAAAGCGGCGCACUGGACCACAACUGACGCUGAGGCGCGAAAGGCUAGGGGAGCAAACAGG